rnacentral:rRNA from 1 species
AUUGAACGCUGGCGGCAUGCCUUACACAUGCAAGUCGAACGGUAACAGGUCUUCGGAUGCUGACGAGUGGCGAACGGGUGAGUAAUACAUCGGAACGUGCCUAGUAGUGGGGGAUAACUACUCGAAAGAGUGGCUAAUACCGCAUGAGAUCUACGGAUGAAAGCAGGGGAUCGCAAGCCCUUGUGCUACUAGAGCGGCCGAUGGCAGAUUAGGGAGGUGGUGGGAUAAAAGAUUACCAAGCCGACGAUCUGUAGCUGGUCUGAGAGGACGAUCAGCCACGCUGGGACUGAGACACGACCCGGACUCCUACGGGAGGCAGCAGUGUGGAAUUUUGGACAAUCGACGAAAGCCUGAUCCAGCAAUGCCGCGUGCAGGAUGAAGGCCUUCGGGUUGUAAACUGCUUUUGUGCGGAACGAAAAGCCCAGGGUUAGUACCCUGGGGUCAUGACGGUACCGGAAGAAUAAGCACCGGCGAACUACGUGCCAGCAGCCGCCGUAG